UACGUAGGGGGCUAGCGUUGUCCGGAAUCAUUGGGCGUAAAGGGCGUGUAGGCGGUUUGUUAAGUCAUGUGUGAAAUCCCUCGGCUCAACCGGGGAACGACGCAUGAAACUGGCAAGCUAGAGUACCAAAGAGGGGGGUGGAAUUCCCGGUGUAGAGGUGAAAUUCGUAGAUAUCGGGAGGAACACCAGUGGCGAAGGCGGCGAUCUGGGAAGAUACUGACGCUGAGGUGCGAAAGCGUGGGGAGCGAACAGG
rnacentral:rRNA from 1 species